GAUUAAGAACGUAGCGAAAUGCGAUACUUGGUGUGAAUUGCAGAAUCCCGUGAACCAUCGAGUCUUUGAACGCAAGUUGCGCCCGAAGCCACUAGGCCGAGGGCACGCCUGCCUGGGCGUCACACGUCGUUGCCCCCCCCCCAUCUACUCCUUCGGGAUUGCGGGGGGCGGAUGAUGGCCUCCCGUGCGCCUAGCCGCGCGGUUGGCAUAAAUACCAAGUCCUCGGCGACGCACGCCACGACAAUCGGUGGUUGCGAAACCUCGGUUGCCCGUCGUGUGCGUUCGUCGCGCAUCGAGGGCUCGAAAAAAUGCUCGGCUCCGGCUCGGCUUUCAACGCGACCCCAGGUCAGGCGGGGUUACCCGCUGAAUUUAAGCAUAUCAAUAAGCGGAGGA
rnacentral:misc_RNA from 1 species